ensembl:lncRNA
AUCAUUGUGUGUCAUUUGGGCUUUGUUUUGACCUUUACCUGCUAAAUGUUAAGCUAAGAAUUUUUCUUUAAAUAGUAGCAACUCAAUGAAUAAAUUAAUAGGUUUUAUAUACAUCUAAAUUAAUUUAUUUAAGUCAAUUAUUAUUAUUAUUAUUAUUAUUAUUAUUAUUAUUUGUUGUUGUUGUUAGGGUUAGGGUCAACUGAAUACAUUGCUACACACAUAAACAUAUAAAAAAUAUAUAUAUAACAACAACAACAACAAUAAUAAUAAUAAAUGUUAAAUAAUAAUAAUAGUAAUAAUAAUAAUUUUAAAAGCAGGCUGCCAUUUUUUAUCAUCAUGUAAAGUCUAAGUCUCUGCAUUGUUGGGUUAGCGUGUGUGUGUGUGUGUGUGUGUGUGUGUGUGUGUGUGUGUGUGUGUGUGUGAUGAAAGAAAGAAAGAAAGAAAGAAAGAAAGAAAGAAAGAAAGAAAGAAAGAAAGAAAGAAAGAAAGAAAGAAAUCUCUGGUGGUGAAGAAAGAAAGAAUGGUGAUCAUGAUGAAUAGUUAAUUAUUUAGUUUCUUUAAGUACGACACAACUUAGCAUUUUACUGUGCCAUUUAUUUCUCAGUUGGCAAGAAUGAUUUCAAAUGCCAAAUCUGUCUUCUGAGCAGAUGCUCUUUUGGAAGAUGCCAUUUCUCAUGACUGCAGAGAUGUUUUUCUGGGAGCUGGUGGAUGCCCUGUAUUUGACCCUGAAGGGUUGAGUCAUGUCUGUUGGUCCUCUUCAUCUGAAAGGCUUGGAAAGCCUCCCUUCCACAGCAAUGUCACCUGUGCUCAAGAAAGUUCAGCUUGUGCUACAAACAAAAUGCAUCUCUGUUUGUCAACACAGCAGUCUGACCAUUAAGUGCAGUCUGAGAGGAAAUGAGAGAAAAGAGGACUGUUCCCUCUCUCACACACGUUCAGACAUGAUGAGUAUCAAUAAUUCAUAGGGACUCGUGCUGACCCUGCCUUUAGUGACCUCUGUCAUGUCCUGCCUGCUGCUACUUUAUAAAUAAACAUCUGUUCAUGCCGGGCUUUCA